UACGUAGGGUGCGAGCGUUAUUCGGAAUCACUGGGCAUAAAGCGCACGUAGGCGGUGACGUAAGUCGGGUGUGAAAUCCCUCGGCCUAACCGAGGAACUGCGCCCGAUACUGCGUUGCUUGAGGACCAGAGGGGUGCAUGGAAUUUCCGGUGGAGCGGUGAAAUGCGUUGAUAUCGGAAGGAACUCCGGCGGCGAAAGCGAUGCACUGGCUGGUUUCUGACGCUGAGGUGCGAAAGCCAGGGGAGCAAACGGG
rnacentral:rRNA from 1 species